rnacentral:rRNA from 1 species
AUUGAACGCUGGCGGCAGGCCUAACACAUGCAAGUCGAGCGAGCGGCGGACGGGUGAGUAAUGUUUGGGAAACUGCCUGACGGAGGGGGCUAACUCCUGGAAACGGUAGCUAAUACCGCAUACCAUCAGAUGUGCCCAGAUGGGAUUAGCUAGUCGGUGGGGUAAUGGCUCACCUAGGCGACGAUCCCUAGCUGGUCUGCGAGGAUGACCAGCGACUCGGAAACUGAGACACGGUCCAGACGCCUACGGGGGGCAGCGGUGGGGAGUAUUGGACACUGGGCGCAAGCCUGGUGCAGCCAUGCCGCGUGGGUGAAUAAGGCCUUCGGGUUGGAAGUCACUUUCAGCGGGAGGGCGUUACCCGCAGAAAAAGCACAGGCUAACUCCGUGACAGCCGCCGCGGUAAUUC